AUGAAUGAAACUCUGGUUUAUUCUCUACCUAUCUUCAGAAGCAAGACUGACCUCCUUGGACCAGACUUUCUGGACAAUUUGCUGGCAGAGGAAGAGACAACAAGAGGAAAAAAGUGGACUUCCUGCACAAGGAGAGACCAUGUGAACACACAGCAAGAACGUGGUGCUCUGCAAGUCAGAAACAGACCCUUCAUCAGACACCAAAUCAGCCAGCACCUUGAUCUAGGAUUUCUGGCCUCCAAAAUGAAGGACGCUGGGAGCCAUGGACAGCUCUAAACACGAAGUGGCAUCCUCUCAUAGAGCUGAAUCCCCCACGCUCUCUAUCCUGUCUGCAGACACUUCUGAGCACCAGGACAUCCACUCAGUUCCCACUGACCCAGGUAACUAGGUCCCAGGAGAUUCUGUGUCUACACUUACCUCCCCAACAGAGCAAGU
rnacentral:lncRNA from 1 species